rnacentral:tRNA from 1 species
CAGCGCGUAGCGUAGCAGCCAACGCACCCGGCUUGGGACCGGGGGAACGCAGGUGCAACUCCUGCCGCGCUGACCA